CAUAUAUGCCAGAUUCUGUGGAAUGUAAAUGAAAGUUGGUGCUAAACAAAAAAAGUCUUCUUCAGGGUGGGAGGGUGAUGUCAGACCUGAGUGUAUUGAGGUGAACUUCAGCCUGGACACUUCUUUCACUAUUGGCUUUAUGCAAUAGUUGCUUACUUGUGUAAAGAUGAAGAAAUCUUUAUUAGCUCUAGGUCAGUUAGUAAACGAUUCCAAAGAAACUGUAUUCCCCUUAGAGUCUGAGUAUUGAAAAUACAUGGAGAAAUGAGUAGCCCAUAGCUAUGUCUGAAUACAUACCUGUCAUUCCUGUGAAGUCCUUCCUAAAAGGAGAGAUUUGUAGCCCAGACACAAUGCUAGGGCUAUUUCCACUCCAGGUUUAGAUGUUUACAGGAGACUCUUUUCUUAAGGACAUUUGUAUUUUUGUAAUGUUUAAGAAACAUAUUGGUUUUUAAAUAUUGCCUGUAC
rnacentral:lncRNA from 1 species